rnacentral:rRNA from 1 species
AACGAACGCUGGCGGCAGGCUUAACACAUGCAAGUCGAACGCCCCGCCAGGGGAGUGGCCGACGGGUGAGUAACGCGUGGGAACAUACCCUUUCCUGCGGAAUAGCUCCGGGAAACUGGAAUUAAUACCGCAUACGCCCUACGGGGGAAAGAUUUAUCGGGGAAGGAUUGGCCCACGUUGGAUUAGCUAGUUGGUGGGGUAAAGGCCUACCAAGGCGACGAUCCAUAGCUGGUCUGAGAGGAUGAUCAGCCACAUUGGGACUGAGACACGGCCCAAACUCCUACGGGAGGCAGCAGUGGGGAAUAUUGGACAAUGGGCGCAAGCCUGAUCCAGCCAUGCCGCGUGAGUGAUGAAGGCCUUAGGGUUGUAAAGCUCUUUCACCGAUGAAGAUAAUGACGGUAGUCGGAGAAGAAGCCCCGGCUAACUUCGUG